CCAAUGAACCCUAGCCUCUCCGAACCCUAGCAGGAAGUAGGAACUCUUUCUCUCUCUGAAGGAGAAGAAGAUGUCGCACUUUGGAAGAGCUGGCCCUCCAGACAUCAGUGACACCUAUUCUCUCCUCGUCCUCAACAUCUCCUUCCGAACCAGCGCAGAUGAUUUGUUCCCUCUCUUCGACAAGUAUGGCAAGGUCGUUGAUGUCUUCAUCCCCAGAGACCGAAGGACCAGUGAUUCCCGAGGUUUUGCAUUUGUUCGGUACAAGUAUGCUGAUGAGGCUCGGAAGGCGGUUGACAAGCUUGAUGGACGAGUUGUUGAUGGCAGAGAGAUAAUGGUUCAAUUUGCUAAGUAUGGACCAAAUGCUGAGCGAAUCCAUAAAGGGAGGAUAGUAGAACCAGUAUCAAGGUCAAGAAGCCGGAGUCCCAGACCAAGUUCUUGGUACAGGGAUGAAUACAGGGACAGGGAUUACAGGAGGAGAAGUCGCAGCAGAAGUCGUGGUAGGUAUGACAGGGGAAGAGAAAGAGAUUAUCAUCGUCGAAGCCGGAGUCACAGUGGAAGCCCUGAUUAUCGCAAAAACCGUGGGUGGGGUGCAUAUGAUGAUGAGAAACGCAGUCGUAGUCUGUCUCCUGGAAGCCCUCGUGGAAGUGUUGAUGGACGCAAUCGCAAAGAGCGCUCACCUCUACCCAAAAGUGUUUCACCACGCGGCAGAUCUGAUUCACGAAGCCCCUCUCCACGUUCCGAUGCUGAUGUGAGCAAUUAAACUCUUUUUUUAAGAGUGAAUGUGGUUGAUUGGCCGAUGAUGUAGCAGCUGUUGAUGCUGUGUUUACCUUGCGGUUGGGUUGAUAGCAUUUCUUGAUGGUUGCAUAGUAAGAUGGUUUUGCAAUUUUCUGUGAUGAUGUCAUCAUUGGGAGUCUUAGUAGCUGUGAUGACUUAAAAGAUGGUUGCUGUUCACAUGCCUUAACAAGUAGCUGAUGCGGUUAAAAUGUUGAACCAGAUAUAACAACAUAAUCCUGAUUCUAAUAUGAACCUGUGAUUUGACAGGGUAACAGAGUGGUGUACAAUAUUCUGUUACUUGGGUUAGAUUCUGUCUCAUCUAUUCUUGUCUAUUAGAUUGUUGCCCUAUUGUUGUAGAAUGUGCCAAGACAUUUUGGUACAAGCACCAAUGAAUGUGGUUUUUGGCUGAUUAUUGUGCAUGUUGUUUCAGCAAUUGAGAUCGUGACUUCAGCUUGAAGUGAUA